rnacentral:miRNA from 1 species
GCAGACACAUUCCAGCCAAUCAGCAGCAGACCCUCCCUCCCAGACCCUCCCACCUCCUGGACAGCAUCCAUUGUGAAGCUGCAUUCUUAGUGAGCUGUCCAGGAGGUGGGAGGGUCUGGGAGAGAGGGUCUGCUGCUGAUUGGCUGGAAUGUGUCUG